rnacentral:misc_RNA from 1 species
UCCGAGUUGUCCCCGGCAGUCUCCUUAGAGUCCCCGGCAUUACCCGCUGGCAACUAAGGACAGGGGUUGCGCUCGUUGCGGCACUUAAGCCAACACCUCACGGCACGAGCUGACGACAGCCAUGCAGCACCUGUGCUGGCCCCUUACGGAGCCCUGCUUUCACGGGGUUUAACCAGCAUGUCAAGCCCAGGUAAGGUGGGGAUGACGUUUGAGAGUACGUCC